UACGUAGGGUGCGAGCGUUGUCCGGAAUUAUUGGGCGUAAAGAGCUCGUAGGCGGUGUGUCGCGUCGGCCGGUGAAAACCCUCACAGCUUAACUGUGGGCUUGCUUUCGAUACGGGCAGACUUGAGGCAUGUAGGGGAGACUGGAAUUCCAUGGUGUAGCGGUGAAAUGCGCAGAUAUCAGGAGGAACACCAGUGGCGAAGGCGGUCUCUGGGCGUAACUGACGCUGAGACGAAGACGUGGGGAGCAACAGG
rnacentral:rRNA from 1 species